UUAAGUUAUUAAGGGCGCACGGUGGAUGCCUUGGCACUAGAAGCCGAUGAAGGACGUUACUAACGACGAUAUGCUUUGGGGAGCUGUAAGUAAGCUUUGAUCCAGAGAUUUCCGAAUGGGGAAACCCAGCAUGAGUUAUGUCAUGUUAUCGAUAUGUGAAUACAUAGCAUAUCAGAAGGCACACCCGGAGAACUGAAACAUCUUAGUACCCGGAGGAAGAGAAAGAAAAUUCGAUUCCCUUAGUAGCGGCGAGCGAAACGGGAAGAGCCCAAACCAACAAGCUUGCUUGUUGGGGUUGUAGGACACUCUAUACGGAGUUACAAAGGACGACAUUAGACGAAUCAUCUGGAAAGAUGAAUCAAAGAAGGUAAUAAUCCUGUAGUCGAAAAUGUUGUCUCUCUUGAGUGGAUCCUGAGUACGACGGAGCACGUGAAAUUCCGUCGGAAUCUGGGAGGACCAUCUCCUAAGGCUAAAUACUCUCUAGUGACCGAUAGUGAACCAGUACCGUGAGGGAAAGGUGAAAAGCACCCCGGAAGGGGAGUGAAAUAGAACCUGAAACCGUGUGCUUACAAGUAGUCAGAGCCCGUUAAUGGGUGAUGGCGUGCCUUUUGUAGAAUGAACCGGCGAGUUACGAUUUGAUGCAAGGUUAAGCAGUAAAUGUGGAGCCGUAGCGAAAGCGAGUCUGAAUAGGGCGUUUAGUAUUUGGUCGUAGACCCGAAACCAGGUGAUCUACCCUUGGUCAGGUUGAAGUUCAGGUAACACUGAAUGGAGGACCGAACCGACUUACGUUGAAAAGUGAGCGGAUGAACUGAGGGUAGCGGAGAAAUUCCAAUCGAACCUGGAGAUAGCUGGUUCUCUCCGAAAUAGCUUUAGGGCUAGCCUCAAGUGAUGAUUAUUGGAGGUAGAGCACUGUUUGGACGAGGGGCCCUCUCGGGUUACCGAAUUCAGACAAACUCCGAAUGCCAAUUAAUUUAACUUGGGAGUCAGAACAUGGGUGAUAAGGUCCGUGUUCGAAAGGGAAACAGCCCAGACCACCAGCUAAGGUCCCAAAAUAUAUGUUAAGUGGAAAAGGAUGUGGCGUUGCCCAGACAACUAGGAUGUUGGCUUAGAAGCAGCCAUCAUUUAAAGAGUGCGUAAUAGCUCACUAGUCGAGUGACACUGCGCCGAAAAUGUACCGGGGCUAAACAUAUUACCGAAGCUGUGGAUUGUCCUUUGGACAAUGGUAGGAGAGCGUUCUAAGGGCGUUGAAGCAUGAUCGUAAGGACAUGUGGAGCGCUUAGAAGUGAGAAUGCCGGUGUGAGUAGCGAAAGACGGGUGAGAAUCCCGUCCACCGAUUGACUAAGGUUUCCAGAGGAAGGCUCGUCCGCUCUGGGUUAGUCGGGUCCUAAGCUGAGGCCGACAGGCGUAGGCGAUGGAUAACAGGUUGAUAUUCCUGUACCACCUAUAAUCGUUUUAAUCGAUGGGGGGACGCAGUAGGAUAGGCGAAGCGUGCGAUUGGAUUGCACGUCUAAGCAGUAAGGCUGAGUAUUAGGCAAAUCCGGUACUCGUUAAGGCUGAGCUGUGAUGGGGAGAAGACAUUGUGUCUUCGAGUCGUUGAUUUCACACUGCCGAGAAAAGCCUCUAGAUAGAAAAUAGGUGCCCGUACCGCAAACCGACACAGGUAGUCAAGAUGAGAAUUCUAAGGUGAGCGAGCGAACUCUCGUUAAGGAACUCGGCAAAAUGACCCCGUAACUUCGGGAGAAGGGGUGCUCUUUAGGGUUAACGCCCAGAAGAGCCGCAGUGAAUAGGCCCAAGCGACUGUUUAUCAAAAACACAGGUCUCUGCUAAACCGUAAGGUGAUGUAUAGGGGCUGACGCCUGCCCGGUGCUGGAAGGUUAAGAGGAGUGGUUAGCUUCUGCGAAGCUACGAAUCGAAGCCCCAGUAAACGGCGGCCGUAACUAUAACGGUCCUAAGGUAGCGAAAUUCCUUGUCGGGUAAGUUCCGACCCGCACGAAAGGCGUAACGAUUUGGGCACUGUCUCAACGAGAGACUCGGUGAAAUCAUAGUACCUGUGAAGAUGCAGGUUACCCGCGACAGGACGGAAAGACCCCGUGGAGCUUUACUGUAGCCUGAUAUUGAAAUUCGGCACAGCUUGUACAGGAUAGGUAGGAGCCUUUGAAACGUGAGCGCUAGCUUACGUGGAGGCGCUGGUGGGAUACUACCCUAGCUGUGUUGGCUUUCUAACCCGCACCACUUAUCGUGGUGGGAGACAGUGUCAGGCGGGCAGUUUGACUGGGGCGGUCGCCUCCUAAAAGGUAACGGAGGCGCUCAAAGGUUCCCUCAGAAUGGUUGGAAAUCAUUCAUAGAGUGUAAAGGCAUAAGGGAGCUUGACUGCGAGACCUACAAGUCGAGCAGGGUCGAAAGACGGACUUAGUGAUCCGGUGGUUCCGCAUGGAAGGGCCAUCGCUCAACGGAUAAAAGCUACCCCGGGGAUAACAGGCUUAUCUCCCCCAAGAGUUCACAUCGACGGGGAGGUUUGGCACCUCGAUGUCGGCUCAUCGCAUCCUGGGGCUGUAGUCGGUCCCAAGGGUUGGGCUGUUCGCCCAUUAAAGCGGUACGCGAGCUGGGUUCAGAACGUCGUGAGACAGUUCGGUCCCUAUCCGUCGUGGGCGUAGGAAAUUUGAGAGGAGCUGUCCUUAGUACGAGAGGACCGGGAUGGACAUACCUCUGGUGUACCAGUUGUCGUGCCAACGGCAUAGCUGGGUAGCUAUGUGUGGACGGGAUAAGUGCUGAAAGCAUCUAAGCAUGAAGCCCCCCUCAAGAUGAGAUUUCCCAACUUCGGUUAUAAGAUCCCUCAAAGAUGAUGAGGUUAAUAGGUUCGAGGUGGAAGCAUGGUGACAUGUGGAGCUGACGAAUACUAAUCGAUCGAAGACUUAAUCAA
rnacentral:rRNA from 1 species